rnacentral:rRNA from 1 species
AAGCGCCGAUGGAGGGGGGUAACUACUGGAAACGGUAGCUAAUACCGCAUAACGUCGCAAGACCAAAGAGGGGGACCUUCGGGCCUCUUGCCAUCGGAUGUGCCCAGAUGGGAUUAGCUAGUAGGUGGGGUAACGGCUCACCUAGGCGACGAUCCCUAGCUGGUCUGAGAGGAUGACCAGCCACACUGGAACUGAGACACGGUCCAG